rnacentral:sRNA from 1 species
GACAUGUCCAGCCUCAUGCACACCAUCUAUGAGGUCGUGGAUGCCUCGGUCAACCACUCCUCGGGCAGCAGCAAGACCCUCCGUGUGAAGCUAACCGUCAGCCCUGAGCCCUCCAGCAAGAGGAAGGAGGGUCCUCCUGCUGGCCAGGACCGGGAGCCCACCCGUUGCAGGAUGGAGGGUGAACUGGCAGAGGAGCCAAGGGUGGCUGACAGGAGGUUGUCUGCACACGUCAGGAGGCCCAGUACUGACCCCCAGCCCUGCUCGGAGCGGGGGCCCUACUGCGUGGACGAGAACACGGAGCGCAGAAACCACUACCUGGACCUCGCCGGGAUUGAGAACUACACGUCCAGAUUCAGCCCUGGGUCCCCUCCUGUGCAAGCCAAGCAAGAGCCCCAGGGCAGGGCCUCGCACCUCCAGGCCCGGUCCCGCUCCCAGGAGCCAGACACACAUGCCGUACACCACCGCAGGUCACAGGUGCUGGUGGAACACGUCGUGCCAGCCUCGGAGCCUGCUGCCCGGGCCCUGGACCCGCAGCCCCGGCCGAAGGGGCCGGAGAAGCAGUUCCUCAAGUCCCCCAAGGGCUCCGGGAAGCCGCCUGGGGUGCCAGCCAGCAGCAAGUCCGGGAAAGCCUUCAGCUACUACCUGCCGGCCGUCCUGCCGCCCCAGGCCCCUCAGGACGGCCACCACCUCCCGCAGCCCCCACCGCCACCCUACAGCCACAAGCGGUACCGCCAAAAGGGCAGGGAGGGCCACUCGCCACCCAAGGCCCCACACGCCCAGCCUGCCACAGUGGAGCACGAGGUGGUGCGGGACCUGCCGCCCACGCCAGCAGGAGAGGGCUACGCGGUGCCAGUGAUCCAGCGGCACGAGCA